GGGAAAAAAAAGAAAAAGAAAAAAGACUAGACCUAGGACAACAGAGGAGCAGUUAGGAAGGAUUUAACAACUCUACAUCUUUCUGAAAGUUCUAAUCUAAACUGAGUGAAAUGAAGAAUGCGAUUCAUAUAGCAAGAACCAAACUAGUUCGGAACUAAAAAAUUGCUAAUUUGAGUGGAGCUGAAUUUACUAAAAUGGAAAAGGAUCAUAAGAUCUCUAUAAAUUGCUUUAGCAAAUUUUGGAUGUCUUCUAUUAAAACAUAUCAGUUAAUUCUUUUUCAUUUUAUUGUCAUUUUUAUAAGGAAAGAAAAAGAUGGUAAGAAAUUGUGGGGACCUGCCAAUGUGAGAGGUACAAUCGCCUAAACCCUUCACUUAAGUACCCAUGUCUAAUAAAUUCACAUGAAGCCAAAAACUCCAAAAUAGGACAAUCUUCCAAGGAUGAAUAACUCCAAUGCAUAUACGCAGACCCAAACUGAACAUCGAUAAAUCAAUUGACACAAACUUGGUCAACGAAUUUUAUGACCUAAUCAAGCUAUUAUGACUCUCCAAUUUGUGGUUCAUUUCACCCAAAUCAAUGAAUCUGAACUGUAACCUGCUUUUAUCCACACUCUCGGAAAGGAAAACAUGAAGUUCGUAAUGGCACAAUCAUUUCCCCUUAUAUUUGUUGUACUUUUC
rnacentral:misc_RNA from 1 species